GACGAACGCUGGCGGCGUGCUUAACACAUGCAAGUCGAACGGAAAGGCCCUGCUUUUGUGGGGUGCUCGAGUGGCGAACGGGUGAGUAACACGUGAGUAACCUGCCCUUGACUUUGGGAUAACUUCAGGAAACUGGGGCUAAUACCGGAUAGGAGCUCCUGCUGCAUGGUGGGGGUUGGAAAGUUUCGGCGGUUGGGGAUGGACUCGCGGCUUAUCGGCUUGUUGGUGGGGUAGUGGCUUACCAAGGCUUUGACGGGUAGCCGGCCUGAGAGGGUGACCGGCCACAUUGGGACUGGGAUGCGGCACAGACUCCUACGGGAGGCAGCAGUGGGGAAUAGUGCACUAUGGGCGGAAGCCUGAUGCAGCAACGCCGCGUGCGGGAUGACGGCCUUCGGGUUGUAAACCGCUUUCGCCUGUGACGAAGCGUGAGUGACGGUAAUGGGUAAAGAAGCACCGGCUAACUACGUG
rnacentral:rRNA from 1 species